rnacentral:rRNA from 1 species
CCAGACUCCUACGGGAGGCAGCAGUGGGGAAUAUUGCACAAUGGGGGAAACCCUGAUGCAGCAACGCCGCGUGAGUGAGGAAGUAUUUCGGUAUGUAAAGCUCUAUCAGCAGGGAAUAGAAAAGAAGGUACCUGAAAAAGAAGCCCCGGCUAACUACGUGCCAGCAGCCGCGGUAAUACGUAGGGGGCAAGCGUUAUCCGGAUUUACUGGGUGUAAAGGGGGCGCAGACGGCAGCGCAAGCCAGGAGUGAAAGCCCGGGGCCCAACCCCGGGACUGCUCUUGGAACUGCGCGGCUGGAGUGCAGGAGGGGCAGGCGGAAUUCCUGGUGUAGCGGUGAAAUGCGUAGAUAUCAGGAGGAACACCGGUGGCGAAGGCGACUUUCUGGACUGUACCUGACGCUGAGGCGCGAAAGCGUGGGUAGCGAACGGGAUUAGAUACCCCCGUA